AGGAGGACACGAAAGAUGAUGAUGAGGAGGAAUGGCUUCAAGAGAACUCCGUGACUGGCUCUGGUGUCCAUGGCAACACAACACCAAGUGACAGACACGCACAGAGGCUGGAGGAGGCCCUCCUGGAGAGAGCCAAAGACACGUAGGGAGCUGUGGUCGCAGGCCCACCCGGUGACGCUGCGGUUCCGCGAUGGCUCACGGGAGGCGCGGUACCAGCGGCGCCACGACCUGCAGACGGUGUACAGCAUGGCCGCCAUGUGUGUGGUGCUGGCGAUGACCACCGCCGCACAGCUCUGCGUCCUG